rnacentral:miRNA from 1 species
UUUCUGUCCACUACCAUGCCA